ACCGCAGACCCCUAGCGAGGUCGGGAAACCGCAGGAACGCCAAUUCCUGUAUCUAGAGUCGAUCCGCAGCCUCGGGAGGCCCCGAAACGACUCCAGACCCCUACGGGAUGAUGGCAACGAUUGACUGCAUCUAACGUAGUAUUUUUUCUUUUUGGGGUUAUCGUAGAAUAUCCAUUUCUUAUCCCCCGUCACAACCCGAUGUAAAAAACUCUUUCUAUGUUGCCUUUGAAUCAGCUGCUCGCAAGUGAAAAAUCGCCUUUUAAUGUUUCUCUUCAUGUUUCAAUUCAUGAGGCACCCAAUUGCUUUGGUUGAGAAUCAUUCUCAUGGGUUUUAAUCGUACGGAAACUGUUGCUUGCAGAAUCAUGACAUCUUCAUUGAGUAAUGCCUCCAAUUCUUUGUCUUCGAAUUUUUUUCUUUUCUUUUUUCUGUUUAGAGCGAAGCUUGUCUUCAAUGGUGAAAUCACCAUUCUUGAAACGUCGAAACCAUUCCCUACAUGAUUUAUCAGUUGGAGCAUUAUCACCAUAAACUUCUACCAGCAUUUGAUGCGCUUCAGCUGCGCUUUUCUUCCAAUUAAAACAGAAAACUAUAACCUCCCGCAAAUGCUGCUUAGUUACUACAAAAGUUGACAUAUUCAACACAAUAAAAAACAGGGGUUUUGUAUGAACUUAAAGCGAUUUGUACUGAAUAUUAUUGACAGAUGUCUAACCUCUUUAAAAUCACCGGAAUCAGCUAUCACUAUGACACAUUUAUAACAGCCAGAGCCAUCUUUUGAAAACUGACCGAACUAAUUUAUACUCCCAAUAUUUACAAUAAUAUUUUCUAUUUCUGCCUUUCUAAACAUCGACAAGUCUGUUAAAUGUAUAACUGUAACAGUUAUCUAAAAGCUUAGUAUCCGUUUUUUUAUUUGGCCCAUUUUUUUGUUUAUUAAUAUAUAUUAUUUUAGAAAUCAAUCUUUUAUAAUAAUUAAGUUUAAAAUCAAAGGUCUUGAUAUUUUCCCAAUCAAAAGAAUGAUUUUGUUGUAAUCUAUGUUCACUAAUAACGGAUACCUUAGAUGUUUCAAGUUUUAUUUUGUUUAUAUGUUCUUUAAUUAUUAUUUCUUUUUGUUUAGCUUACAUACAAGGCAUUACAAUCCUUAAAUUCAGUUUGCAGACAACGUUAAUUGUUACACUUUGUUUCAAUAUUCUUGUUUUUGUGUAUUUUAACAAACCUCAAGCUUAUUUAAGCAUCUAAAACCCAACAUAACUUCAUUUUUAUUUAGGGACGCAGAUAUUUUUUCUGAAAUGUCUUUAAUAUAUAAAAGAUAUUGAAGGCAAUACCAUUAAAUUUAACGCACAACUCAAAGCCGAUAUUCGAAAUAUUACAGUCCUACAAUUGUAGCGGUUCUUGGAUGCUCGAGUAAACAAUAACCAUAUAGACAAGAAACUGAUCUCCAUGUUUAAAUACACACCUCAAUUUUUAAAACAGAAUGACAACAUAAUAAACACGCGUGUGGACAAGAAAAAUGUAGUGGUUGCAAUGGAUGAGGAGGAUUAUUUACAUAAAAUGCA